CCCUUAGAUGUCCUGGGCUGCACGCGCGCUACACUGAAGGAAUCAGCGUGCUAAAACCAUUGUCGAAAGGCAUUGGUAAACCCAUUAAAAUCCUACGUGAUUGGGAUCGGGAAUUGCAAUUAUUUCCCUUGAACGAGGAAUUCCCAGUAAGUGUGGGUCAUAAGCUCGCGUUGAUUACGUCCCUGCCCUUUGUACACACCGCCCGUCGCUGCCCGGGACUGAGCCGUUUCGAGAAAAGCGGGGACUGCUGCUGUCGGGGCUUUCGGGCCUUGGCUUCGGUGGAAACCGCUUUAAUCGCANUNGCUUGANCCGGGCAAAANUCGUANCA
rnacentral:rRNA from 1 species